ACGAACGCUGGCGGCGUGCUUAACACAUGCAAGUCGAGCGGUAAGGCCCCUUCGGGGGGUACACGAGCGGCGAACGGGUGAGUAACACGUGGGUGACCUGCCCUCAGCUCUGGGAUAAGCCUGGGAAACUGGGUCUAAUACCGGAUAUGACUCCAUGACGCAUGUCGUGGGGUGGAAAGCCUUGUGCGGCUGGGGAUGGGCCCGCGGCCUAUCAGCUUGUUGGUGGGGUGAUGGCCCACCAAGGCGACGACGGGUAGCCGGCCUGAGAGGGCGACCGGCCACACUGGGACUGAGACACGGCCCAGACUCCUACGGGAGGCAGCAGUGGGGAAUCUUGCGCAAUGGGCGAAAGCCUGACGCAGCGACGCCGCGUGAGGGAUGACGGCCU
rnacentral:rRNA from 1 species